rnacentral:rRNA from 1 species
GGACUGAGACACGGCCCAGACUCCUACGGGAGGCAGCAGUGGGGAAUAUUGCACAAUGGGGGAAACCCUGAUGCAGCAACGCCGCGUGAAGGAAGACGGUUUUCGGAUUGUAAACUUCUGUUCUUAGUGAAGAAUAAUGACGGUAGCUAAGGAGCAAGCCACGGCUAACUACGUGCCAGCAGCCGCGGUAAUACGUAGGUGGCAAGCGUUGUCCGGAAUUACUGGGUGUAAAGGGAGCGUAGGCGGGAUGCCAAGUCAGCUGUGAAAACUAUGGGCUUAACCUGUAGACUGCAGUUGAAACUGGUAUUCUUGAGUGAAGUAGAGGUUGGCGGAAUUCCGAGUGUAGCGGUGAAAUGCGUAGAUAUUCGGAGGAACACCGGUGGCGAAGGCGGCCAACUGGGCUUUAACUGACGCUGAGGCUCGAAAGUGUGGGGAGCAAACAGGAUUAGAUACCCUGGUAGUCCACACUGUAAACGAUGAUAACUAGGUGUGGGGGGUCUGACCCCUUCCGUGCCGCAGCUAACGCAAUAAGUUAUCCACCUGGGGAGUACGACCGCAAGGUUGCAACUCAAAUG